rnacentral:rRNA from 1 species
GAUAAACGCUAGCGGCAGGCUUAACACAUGCAAGUCGAGGGGCAGCAUAGAUUGUAGCAAUACAAUUGGUGGCGACCGGCGCACGGGUGCGUAACGCGUAUGCAACCUACCCGUCACAGGGGGAUAAUCCGGAGAAAUCUGGUCUAAUAUCCCAUAACAUAUGGAUCGGCAUCGGUUCAUGUUGAAAUUUUCGGAGGUGACGGAUGGGCAUGCGUAGCAUUAGCUUGUUGGUGAGGUAACGGCUCACCAAGGCGACGAUGCUUAGGGGGACUGAGAGGUUUUCCCCCCACACUGGUACUGAGACACGGACCAGACUCCUACGGGAGGCAGCAGUGAGGAAUAUUGGUCAAUGGGCGCAAGCCUGAACCAGCCAUGCCGCGUGCAGGAUGACGGCUCUAUGAGUUGUAAACUGCUUUUGAACGAGGGUAAAGUGGGUUACGUGUAACCUUUUGAAAGUAUCGUACGAAUAAGGAUCGGCUAACUCCGUGCCAGCAGCCGCCGUAA